rnacentral:rRNA from 1 species
AUUGAACGCUGGCGGCAGGCCUAACACAUGCAAGUCGAACGAGUGGCGGAGGGGUGAGUAAUGUCUGGGAAACUGCCUGAGGGAGGGGUAAAAACACUGGAAAGGGGAGCUAAUACCGCAUACUAUAAGAUGCGCCCAGAUGGGAUGAGCUAGUAGGUGGGGUAAAGGCUCACCAAGGCGACGAUCCCUAGCUGGUCUGAGAGGAUGACCAGCAACACUGGAACUGAGACACGGUCCAGACUCCUACGGGAGGCAGCAGUGGGGAAUAUUGCACAAUGGGCGCAAGCCUGAUGCAGCCAUGCCGCGUGUAUGAAGAAGGCCUUCGGGUUGUAAAGUACUUUCAGCGGGGAGGCGUUACCCGCAGAAGAAGCACCGGCUAACUCCGUGCCAGCAGCCGCGGUAAUAC